rnacentral:rRNA from 1 species
GGGGGGGGGGGGGGGGGGGCGGGGGGGGGGGAGGGGGGGGGGGGGGGCGGGGCUAGGGGCGCACGGGUGCGUAACGCGUGGGAACCUGCCCGUAGGUUCGGAAUAACUCCCCGAGAGGGGUGCUAAUACCGGAUAAUGUCUUCGGACCAAAGAUUUAUCGCCUUUGGAUGGGCCCGCGUUGGAUUAGCUAGUUGGUAGGGUAAAAGCCUACCAAGGCGACGAUCCAUAGCUGGUCUGAGAGGAUGAUCAGCCACCCUGGGACUGAGACACGGCCCAGACUCCUACGGGAGGCAGCAGUGGGGAAUAUUGGACAAUGGGCGAAAGCCUGAUCCAGCAAUGCCGCGUGAGUGAUGAAGGCCUUAGGGUUGUAAAGCUCUUUUACCCGGGAUGAUAAUGACAGUACCGGGAGAAUAAGCUCCGGCUAACUCCGUG